GGAGGCAGCAGUGGGGAAUUUUCCGCAAUGGGCGAAAGCCUGACGGAGCAAUACCGCGUGAGGGAGGAAGGCUCUUGGGUUGUAAACCUCUUUUCUCAGGGAAGAAAAAAAUGACGGUACCUGAGGAAUAAGCAUCGGCUAACUCCGUGCCAGCAGCCGCGGUAAUACGGAGGAUGCAAGCGUUAUCCGGAAUGAUUGGGCGUAAAGGGUCCGCAGGUGGCAUUGUUUGUCUGCUGUUAAAGAGUCUGGCUCAACCAGAUCAAAGCAGUGGAAACUACAAAGCUAGAGUMUGGUCGGGGCAGAGGGAAUUCCUGGUGUAGCGGUGAAAUGCGUAGAUAUCAGGAAGAACACCGGUGGCGAAGGCGCUCUGCUAGGCCAAAACUGACACUGAGGGACGAAAGCUAGGGGAGCGAAUGGGAUUAGAUACCCCAGUAGUCCUAGCCGUAAACGAUGGAUACUAGGCGUAGCUCGUAUCGACC
rnacentral:rRNA from 1 species